rnacentral:lncRNA from 1 species
UCGCUUCUGCGGUGUACCAGCAAUCAGACCCUUCAGCUAUACAAAAAUUCCAAAUUUUGAUCAGUUAAUCACCCGGAAUCCACCCGAGGCUCCCGGGACCCUAACCAAUCAUACCAACCAGUCCCAAAGCACAUUUCGGACUUGCUUGAGGCCUCAAAUCACAUCAAACAAUGCAAAAAUCAUGAAUCAACCUCCAAUCCAAGCUUUAUGAACUUUAGAACUUCUAACUUCUAUUUCUGAUGCCGAAACCUAUCAAAUUACGUCCGAUUGACAUCAAAUUUUGCACACAAGUCCAAAAUGUCAUAGCGAAGCUACAACAACUCUCGGAAUUCCAUUCCGACUCUCGGAUCAAAAUUUCACCUAUAGAACUUCCAACUUCUACUUUCGAUGCUUAAACCUAUCAAAUCAACUCCGAUUAACCUCAAAUUUUGCACACAAGUCAUAUUCGACAUUACGAACCUACUUCAACUUUCCGAAUCGGAUUCCGACCCCGAUAUCAAAAAGUCCACUUCCGAUCAAACUUCUCCAAAAACCUUCGAAUUUCUAC